GACGAACGCUGGCGGCGUGCUUAACACAUGCAAGUCGAACGGAAAGGCCCUGCUUUUGUGGGGUGCUCGAGUGGCGAACGGGUGAGUAACACGUUAGUAACCUGCCCUUGACUUUGGGAUAACUUCAGGAAACUGGGGCUAAUACCGGAUAGGAGCUCCUGCUGCAUGGUGGGGGUUGGAAAGUUUCGGCGGUUGGGGAUGGACUCGCGGCUUAUCAGCUUGUUGGUGGGGUAGUGGCUUACCAAGGCUUUGACGGGUAGCCGGCCUGAGAGGGUGACCGGCCACAUUGGGACUGAGAUACGGCCCAGACUCCUACGGGAGGCAGAAGUGGGGAAUAUUGCACAAUGGGCGGAAGCCUGAUGCAGCAACGCCGCGUGCGGGAUGACGGCCUUCGGGUUGUAAACCGCUUUCGCCUGUGACGAAGCGUGAGUGACGGUAAUGGGUAAAGAAGCACCGGCUAACUACGUG
rnacentral:rRNA from 1 species